AAUAUCGACCACAACUUCAACAACAGGACCAACUGUAACCUUUCCAGCAUCGACAACAGCUCCAACUUCAACAACAGUUCCAGGGUCAACAUCGAUUCCAACAACAACAGAAUUUGUUUUCGGAGGCGUCCGUGGACCACCAACAUUGACC